UACGUAGGGGGCAAGCGUUGUCCGGAUUUAUUGGGCGUAAAGAGCGUGUAGGCGGUCAGGCAGGUCCGUUGUGAAAACUCGAGGCUCAACCUCGAGACGCCGAUGGAAACCAUCUGACUAGAGUCCGGAAGAGGAGAGUGGAAUUCCUGGUGUAGCGGUGAAAUGCGCAGAUAUCAGGAAGAACACCCGUGGCUAAGGCGGCUCUCUAGUACGGUACUGACGCUGAGACGCGAAAGCGUGGGGAGCGAACAGG
rnacentral:rRNA from 1 species